GGAUGUCAAUCAAAUUGGUUAGACCAUGGUGCUGAUAACACCAAGGUUGCAGGUUCGAUCCCUGUAUGGACCA